rnacentral:rRNA from 1 species
ACACGUCUACAUUAGACUACCCCCGUAGUCCCAGCCGUAAACUAUGCGCGUUAGGUGUAUCGGUGACCACGAGUUACCGAGGUGCCGAAGGGAACCGUGAAACGUGCCGCCUGGGAAGUACGGUCGCAAGGCUGAAACUUAAAGGAAUUGGCGGGGAGCACCACAACAGGUGGAGCCUGCGGUUUAAUUGGACUCAACGCCGGGAAGCUCACCGGAUAGGACAGCAGAAUGAUUGCCGGGCUGAAGACUCUGCAUGACUAGCUG